GACGAACGCUGGCGGCGUGCCUAAUACAUGCAAGUAGAACGCACAGUUUAUACCGUAGCUUGCUACACCAUAGACUGUGAGUUGCGAACGGGUGAGUAACGCGUAGGUAACCUGCCUGGUAGCGGGGGAUAACUAUUGGAAACGAUAGCUAAUACCGCAUAAUAUUAAUUAUUGCAUGAUAAUUAAUUGAAAGGUGCAAUUGCACCACUACCAGAUGGACCUGCGUUGUAUUAGCUAGUAGGUGAGGUAACGGCUCACCUAGGCGACGAUACAUAGCCGACCUGAGAGGGUGAUCGGCCACACUGGGACUGAGACACGGCCCAGACUCCUACGGGAGGCAACAGUAGGGAAUCUUCGGCAAUAGACGAAAGUCUGACCGAGCAACGCCGCGUGAGUGAAGAAGGUUUUCGGAUCGUAAAGCUCUGUUGUAAGAGAAGAACGGGUGUGAGAGUGGAAAGUUCACACUGUGACGGUAUCUUACCAGAAAGGGACGGCUAACUACGUG
rnacentral:rRNA from 1 species